UUAAAGAGUAAAUACAAUGUUCAUAUAGAAUAUAUACCUAGUAGUUGGCUUGCUUCCCCAUCGUCACCAUAUUUUUACAUCAUGGUAUUAGUUUAUGGCAUAUUUUACUAUCAUGAAGCAUCCUAUGUGUGUUUAGUAAAAACAAAUGUGAUAAAUAAUAAUGCUGAAAACUAUAAUACAAAUGCUAGAACCUGAGUUUUUUUGUUUGACCGAAGAGUCAAUUGGAG
rnacentral:lncRNA from 1 species